rnacentral:rRNA from 1 species
GACGAACGCUGGCGGCGUGCUUAACACAUGCAAGUCGAACGGAAAGGCCCUGCUUUUGUGGGGUGCUCGAGUGGCGAACGGGUGAGUAACACGUGAGUAACCUGCCCUUGACUUUGGGAUAACUUCAGGAAGCUGGGGCUAAUACCGGAUAGGAGCUCCUGCUGCAUGGUGGGGGUUGGAAAGUUUCGGCGGUUGGGGAUGGACUCGCGGCUUAUCAGCUUGUUGGUGGGGUAGUGGCUUACCAAGGCUUUGACGGGUAGCCGGCCUGAGAGGGUGACCGGCCACAUUGGGACUGAGAUACGGCCCAGACUCCUACGGGAGGCAGCAGUGGGGAAUAUUGCACAAUGGGCGGAAGCCUGAUGCAGCAACGCCGCGUGCGGGAUGACGGCCUUCGGGUUGCAAACCGCUUUCGCCUGUGACGAAGCGUGAGUGACGGUAAUGGGUAAAGAAGCACCGGCUAACUACGUG